GUGCCAGCCGCCGCGGUAAUACGGAGGGUGCAAGCGUUGCUCGGAAUUAUUGGGCGUAAAGGGUAGGUAGGUGGUCUCAUUUGUCUGGGGUGAAAGCCUUGAGCUUAACUCAAGAAGUGCCCCAGAAACGGUGAGACUAGAGUCUUGGAGAGGGUCGUGGAAUUCCCGGUGUAGCGGUGAAAUGCGUAGAGAUCGGGAGGAACACCAGAGGCGAAGGCGGCGACCUGGACAAGUACUGACACUCAACUACGAAAGCGUGGGGAGCAAACAGGAUUAGAAACCCUUGUAGUCC
rnacentral:rRNA from 1 species